rnacentral:rRNA from 1 species
AUUGAACGCUGGCGGCAUGCCUUACACAUGCAAGUCGAACGGUAACAGGUCUUCGGAUGCUGACGAGUGGCGAACGGGUGAGUAAUACAUCGGAACGUGCCUAGUAGGGGGGGAUAACUACUCGAAAGAGUGGCUAAUACCGCAUGAGAGCUACGGAUGAAAGCAGGGGAUCGCAAGACCUUGCGCUACUAGAGCGGCCGAUGGCAGAUUAGGUAGUUGGUGGGAUAAAAGCUUACCAAGCCGACGAUCUGUAGCUGGUCUGAGAGGACGAUCAGCCACACUGGGACUGAGACACGGCCCAGACUCCUACGGGAGGCAGCAGUGGGGAAUUUUGGACAAUGGGCGAAAGCCUGAUCCAGCAAUGCCGCGUGCAGGAUGAAGGCCUUCGGGUUGUAAACUGCUUUUGUACGGAACGAAAAGCCCCGGGUUAAUACCCUGGGGUCAUGACGGUACCGUAAGAAUAAGCACCGGCUAACUACGUGCCAGCCGCCGCAGUAA